UUUCCCUUAAAAGAAUAUUUCUUUGAAGUUCCAAUCAUUCUCACAAAGUAAUUAUACCCUUGGAGUAAAAUAACAAAAAUUUGUUUUUUCUUUUCACACAAAUAACCAGAGGCCAAAAGGCCUCCAAAAAUGUCUGAUGAUAACACCCGCCAUGCCCACCCACAUCCUUCCACAAGAAACGCCUAAGUAACAGCUUUUUAGCAUAAAUUUCCAGUUACAUGGCAGGAAGUCGUCGUGCGUCAGUUGCUUGCCACAAUUUCCAUUAGCAGCAAACGCCACAUGUGACGUUCCCGCUGCCAGGACAUUUGACAUUUUAAGGAGCGCCAAGAGCGAGUGGCCCACAGGUAAGCCCCAGAAGUCGCAGACCUGCCCCGACCUGACAUGUCAACUGUGUAUAGCACGCACAAUUUGAGCUGAAAUUCUCAAAGCAUGACCAAGGAAGAGCAAACAAAUGCAAGGAAAAAACCUGCAACGGCGCUGCCAAGUCCCAGUUCUCAGCCCUCUAUCUCCCUGUUAUUUCCAGAGGUUACCGUAUCCCCUGUUGCCCUGCACACCUGUGGUAAACGCUCAAAUUUCAAUGAAAUGUUGAAAUAGAAAUUAAAUGCCAGACCGCAUUUUAGACUAAUGCCAAAAUUGCGCGCUCCCAACGUGCUCGUAUCAGCUUACGGCAGCAACAGCAUCCCUCGCCUCCCACUCCAAGGUACAGGUAUCCUGUUUAUGGCAGCCAGCCUGAAUCAACCACAACAUAUACACCUAUUUCCUCUGUGCAACGCGUUGUCACAUGAGACGCUUGCCAAAAUAAAUAAAAAUAUGUA